rnacentral:rRNA from 1 species
GACGAACGCUGGCGGCGCGCCUAACACAUGCAAGUCGAGCGAUGAAAUUUUAACCGAUCUCUUCGGAGAGAAGAUAAAAUGGAUUAGCGGCGGACGGGUGAGUAACACGUGAGAAACCUGCCUUUCACAAGGGGAUAGCCUCGGGAAACCGGGAUUAAUACCCUAUGACACAUUUCCUUCGCAUGGAAGAAAUGUUAAAACUCCGGUGGUGAAAGAUGGUCUCGCGCCUGAUUAGCUAGUUGGUGGGGUAACGGCCCACCAAGGCCAUGAUCAGUAACCGGGCUGAGAGGGUGAACGGUCGCAUUUGAGCUGAGACCCAGUCCAAACUCCUACGGGAGGCAGCAGUGGGGAAUAUUGCACGAUGGAGGAAACUCUGAUGCAGCGACGCCGCGUGAGCGAUGAAGGCUUUCGAGUCGUAAAGCUCUGUCCUAUGGGAAGAUAAUGACGGUACCAGAGGAGGAAGCCCCGGCUAACUACGUG